AGUUGCACGGUGGCCGCGGCCGCCCCCACAUUCGAGGAGGAAGGUGCAAAGCGGUGGGAGACUGCGGGGGUGAGUCGUGGGGGUGAGGCGUGGGGGCGAGGCGGGAGCACAGCCGAGCUCCUACCUUUCGGGCGGGGCGGACACCAGCCGCGCGCCCUCGCCGGGCGCCGGGACCGGAAAAUCACCGCGAAGGGAGGGACGAGGAAAGGCGGCGGGCGGCUUCAGGACAAGGACUUUGUGAUUACAUUGGGCCCAUCCAGAUCAUCCAGGAUCAUCUUCCCAUCUCAAGAUUCUUCACUUAAUCACAUCUGCAAAAUUCCUUUUGCUGUGUAAGCUGUGAGAUAUCAGUGGGCAAGGAUGUGACGCCUGAAGAUGUGGCAUCUACCUUGAAACAGCCAAGGACCUGAGGACGAAGCCAGCAUCUGAGGAAAACAGACAGAAAGGAUCUGGAUACAUGAUGAGCCUGAAAAGUAUCUUGCAUACACAACUGGUGGCACAGAAUCCUGACAAACCUCUCAUCAGAAGUCAACCACAGGCUCUCUAUGCUCUUACCAAAACGCUGGCUUUGAGAAAUAAUUAUGAAUGAAAAUUACUGAUGUGAUUUUCAGUCUAGGGAAGAAUAUCAAGUUAAACUUUAUGAAGUCCAAGACAAUGGGAAAAGAAGAGGUAUUCCUGUCCAGGCCCUCUUCCAGUUAGAAGGUGAUGGUUUCCAGAAGUCUGCACCUGUAUUUCAAUUACCUAUAUGGAGUUUAUAGGACUAAACUAUAUUCACUGUA
rnacentral:antisense_RNA from 1 species